ACCGCAUUAUCUAUUUUUCAUGUUCGCGAAUUGACCCCAAACUAUUUUGUCUUUGUUUGAACAUAAUUUACCAAUUUUGCAGUUGAGGACACUGAGAAACACACUUCACAGUUACAUGGCGCGGUCUUCUUCUGUUCUUCGCUACCCAACUCAAUUCAAUGGCGGAUGGAACUGCUCCUUUUUUGGAGAUCGGAAGACAGAUACGGAGGGGGUUGGGGAGGCUGCAAUCAGAUAGGGUCAGAAACUCUGUUAAACCAACUUAAGAAUUAAAUUAUUUACGUUUGUUCUUCAGUGCAAGCAAUCUGCAAGAAGGUAUGGAAGGGAAAUCCUACUGCUACCACCAUGAAAAAUGUUUCAAGAGGUCUUGCUGCUCUUACUGUUCCAUUUACCAUGAGCUUUCCAAAAAGGUAGUUUUGCUAAGUCUUAUUGGCUUCUGCUAUUUAUGUUUAUUCUAUUCUCUGUGAACUUCUCUCCAGUCAUUUCUGUAAUAGAUGUCAUGCGCACUUUGAAGCCAAUGCCUUAGGAUGGCACCUCCCCCUCUUUAAUAUCAGGGCGGAGACAAAGAUGUCAAUUUGAGGAUAAAUAUUUCUCUAUCCCCGUUCAUUGCCCCAAACUCUCUAUCUCUUUUCUAUUUUGACAAGUGACAUGAGGAGAGAGAUGAAGAGAGGGGGGCAAUGAAACCAGAAUGGAAGUUUUUCUGAAAGUUGAGGGGAGGUCUACAUUGAGCCCGGGCUUGGCACCUCUAUCUCCAAAGUUAUUAGCUACAACGUUCGCCGGAUGCUUCACCCUGCUACAACAAUACAACCACCACUGAUUAUGAGAUGAGAUACCCCUGACGUCAAUUUGAAAAGUAACAUCUGCAUCACUUUCCGAUAAUUGGAAGCUGCAUUGUUCAAUGUUGGGAUAAACAGGCUGUUGUAGAACUUUUUUUUAUCUGUUAAUUUAUAUAUAAAUUUACUACUCAGAUUUUAUAGACCCCACUGAUAACACACUUGUUAGUUA